UUUAUGGUGGGUAACAUGGGACUAGGAAGUGAUGGCUAGCAUCUAGAAGUGCAGUGAUGAACAUCGCUAGGUACUUGGAGCUUGCACUGGAGAAGCGGGUCGUUGUGGACAAGGAUCGUGGCUCUUCCGCUUUACUAUUGUGAUACUUAAAACUAUUGAUACUGGUUUAUUUACUAUGCUUCCGCAACACUUUUGAAACGAUUUAAUGUUU
rnacentral:lncRNA from 1 species